CACGCCGUAAACGAUGAAUACUAGGUGUGGGGGGACUGACCCCUUCCGUGCCGCAGUUAACACAAUAAGUAUUCCACCUGGGGAGUACGACCGCAAGGUUGAAACUCAAAGGAAUUGACGGGGGCCCGCACAAGCAGUGGAUUAUGUGGUUUAAUUCGAAGCAACGCGAAGAACCUUACCAGGUCUUGACAUCGUGCGCAUACCAUAGAAAUAUGGAAAGUCCUUCGGGACGCAUAGACAGGUGG
rnacentral:rRNA from 1 species